GAUGAACGCUGGCGGCGUGCCUAAUACAUGCAAGUCGAGCGAAUGGAUUAAGAGCUUGCUCUUAUGAAGUUAGCGGCGGACGGGUGAGUAACACGCGGGUAACCUGCCCAUAAGAUUGGGAUAACUCCGGGAAACCGGGGCUAAUACCGGAUAACAUUUUGAACCGCAUGGUUCGAAAUUGAAAGGCGGCUUCGGCUGUCACUUAUGGAUGGACCCGCGUCGCAUUAGCUAGUUGGUGAGGUAACGGCUCACCAAGGCAACGAUGCGUAGCCGACCUGAGAGGGGGAUCGGCCACACUGGGACUGAGACACGGCCCAGACUCCUACGGGAGGCAGCAGGAGGGAAUCUUCCGCAAUGGACGAAAGUCUGACGGAGCAACGCCGCGUGAGUGAUGAAGGCUUUCGGGUCGUAAAACUCUGUUGUUAGGGAAGAACAAGUGCUAGUUGAAUAAGCUGGCACCUUGACGGUACCUAACCAGAAAGCCACGGCUAACUACGUGCCAGCCGCCGCCGUAA
rnacentral:rRNA from 1 species